GGUUACUUCCAUACCACCUUGAAUGCACCCGAUCUUGUCUGAUCUUGAAAGUAAAGCAAGGUCAGGCCUGGUUAGUACUUGGAUGGGAGACCACCUGGGAAUACAGGGUGCUAUAGGCU
ensembl:rRNA 5S_rRNA 5S ribosomal RNA